UACGUAGGGACCAAGCGUUGUUCGGAUUUACUGGGCGUAAAGGGCGCGUAGGCGGCAUGACAAGUCACUUGUGAAAUCUCCGGGCUUAAUUCGGAACGGCCAAGUGAAACUGUCAAGCUAGAGUGCAGAAGGGGCAAUCGGAAUUCUUGGUGUAGCGGUGAAAUGCGUAGAUAUCAAGAGGAACACCUGAGGUGAAGACGGGUUGCUGGGCUGACACUGACGCUGAGGCGCGAAAGCCAGGGGAGCAAACGGG
rnacentral:rRNA from 1 species